rnacentral:rRNA from 1 species
UGGGGAAUUUUGCACAAUGGGGGAAACCCUGAUGCAGCGACGCCGCGUGAUUUAGAAGGCCUUCGGGUUGUAAAAAUCUUUUCUAUGGGAAGAAAAUGACAGUACCAUAGGAAUAAGGACCGGCUAAUUACGUGCCAGCAGCCGCGGUAAUACGUAAGGUCCGAGCGUUGUCCGGAAUCAUUGGGCGUAAAGGGUACGUAGGCGGGUAAGCAAGUUAGAAGUGAAAUCCUAUAGCUCAACUAUAGUAAGCUUUUAAAACUGCUCAUCUUGAUGUAUGGAAGGGAAAGUGGAAUUCCUAGUGUAGCGGUGAAAUGCGCAGAUAUUAGGAGGAAUACCGGUGGCGAAGGCGACUUUCUGGCCAUAACCUGACGCUGAGGUACGAAAGCGUGGGUAGCAAACAGG